GGCAGGGUAGCUCAGAGGAUAGAGCACGUAAAUACAUUUCCCCACCCCUUGUUGCCGUGCGCGCCCACCCCCUACGGGCGGAUGCCGGCAGGAUUACAUCGGUUGUUUACAGCGGGUUCGAUCCCCGCAGUCCUGCCA
rnacentral:tRNA from 1 species